AGUGAACGCUGGCGGUAGGCCUAACACAUGCAAGUCGAACGGCAGCACAGAGGAGCUUGCUCCUUGGGUGGCGAGUGGCGGACGGGUGAGGAAUACAUCGGAAUCUACUCUGUCGUGGGGGAUAACGUAGGGAAACUUACGCUAAUACCGCAUACGACCUACGGGUGAAAGCAGGGGAUCUUCGGACCUUGCGCGAUUGAAUGAGCCGAUGUCGGAUUAGCUAGAUGGCGGGGUAAAGGCCCACCAAGGCGACGAUCCGUAGCUGGUCUGGAAGGAUGAUCAGCAACACUGGAACUGAGACACGGUCCAGACUCCUACGGGAGGCAGCGGUGGGGAAUAUUGGACAAUGGGCGCAAGCCUGAUCCAGCCAUACCGCGUGGGUGAAGAAGGCCUUCGGGUUGUAAAGCCCUUUUGUUGGGAAAGAAAUCCAUCUGGUUAAUACCCGGGUGGGAUGACGGUACCCAAAGAAUAAGCACCGGCUAACUUCGUGCCAGCCGCCGCAGUAAAAC
rnacentral:rRNA from 1 species